rnacentral:rRNA from 1 species
AUACGUAGGUGGCGAGCGUUGUCCGGAUUUACUGGGCGUAAAGGGAGCGUAGGCGGAUUUUUAAGUGAGAUGUGAAAUACCCGGGCUCAACUUGGGUGCUGCAUUUCAAACUGGAAGUCUAGAGUGCAGGAGAGGAGAGUGGAAUUCCUAGUGUAGCGGUGAAAUGCGUAGAGAUUAGGAAGAACACCAGUGGCGAAGGCGACUCUCUGGACUGUAACUGGCGCUGAGGCUCGAAAGCGUGGGGAGCAAACAGGAUUAGAUCCCCUGGUAGUCCACGCCGUAAACGAUGAAUACUAGGUGUAGGGGUUGUCAUGACCUCUGUGCCGCCGCAAACGCAUUAAGUAUUCCGCCUGGGGAGUACGGUCGCAAGAUUAAAACUCAAAGGAAUUGGCGGGG